UGGGGAAUAUUGGGCAAUGGAGGCAACUCUGACCCAGCAACGCCGCGUGAAUGAUGAAGGUCUUCGGAUUGUAAAGUUCUGUGAUGGGGGACGAAGAAAGUGACGGUACCCCAAUAGCAAGCUACGGCUAACUACGUGCCAGCAGCCGCGGUAAUACGUAGGUAGCAAGCGUUGUCCGGAAUGACUGGGCGUAAAGGGUGCGUAGGUGGCUUAACAAGUUGGUAGUGAAAUUCCGAGGCUUAACUUCGGCGCUACUACCAAGACUGUUGAGCUUGAGUACAGGAGAGGUAAGUGGAAUUCCUAGUGUAGCGGUGGAAUGCGUAGAUAUUAGGAGGAACACCAGUGGCGAAGGCGACUUACUGGCCUGCAACUGACACUGAGGCACGAAAGCGUGGGGAGC
rnacentral:rRNA from 1 species